rnacentral:rRNA from 1 species
UACGUAGGGUGCGAGCGUUUAAUCGGAAUUACUGGGCGUAAAGCGUGCGCAGGCGGUGAGCUGUGUCCGAUGUGAAAGCCCCGGGCUUAACCUGGGAAUGGCAUUGGAAACUGGCUCGCUGGAGUGUGGCAGAGGGGGGUGGAAUUCCGCGUGUAGCAGUGAAAUGCGUAGAGAUGCGGAGGAACACCGAUGGCGAAGGCAGCCCCCUGGGCUAACACUGACGCUCAGGCACGAAAGCGUGGGGAGCAAACAGG